UGGCGAACCUCCGGCCCUCCAGCUGUGGUAAAACUACGACUCCCAAGAUGCCCCCUUGCUUGGCUGUUUUCAGAACUCCAUAGAAAUGACUGGAGUAUGCUUGGAGUCGUAGUUUCGCCGGAGUGCAGGGUUGGGCGU